rnacentral:rRNA from 1 species
UACGUAGGUGGCAAGCGUUAUCCGGAUUUAUUGGGCGUAAAGAGAGCGCAGGCGGUCUUUUAGGUCUGAUGUGAAAGCCUUCGGCUUAACCGGAGUAGUGCAUUGGAAACUGGGAGACUUGAGUGCAGAAGAGGAGAGUGGAACUCCAUGUGUAGCGGUGAAAUGCGUAGAUAUAUGGAAGAACACCAGUGGCGAAAGCGGCUCUCUGGUCUGUAACUGACGCUGAGGUUCGAAAGCGUGGGUAGCAAACAGG